rnacentral:rRNA from 1 species
GACGAACGCUGGCGGCGUGCUUAACACAUGCAAGUCGAACGGAAAGGCCCUGCUUGCAGGGUACUCGAGUGGCGAACGGGGGAGUAACACGUGGGUGAUCUGCCCUGCACUUCGGGAUAAGCCUGGGAAACUGGGUCUAAUACCGGAUAGGGGCCAUUUUUAGUGUGAUGGUUGGAAAGUUUUUUCGGUGUAGGAUGAGCUCGCGGCCUAUCAGCUUGUUGGUGGGGUAAUGGCCUACCAAGGCGGCGACGGGUAGCCGGCCUGAGAGGGUGGACGGCCACAUUGGGACUGAGAUACGGCCCAGACUCCUACGGGAGGCAGCAGUGGGGAAUAUUGCACAAUGGGCGCAAGCCUGAUGCAGCGACGCCGCGUGGGGGAUGACGGCCUUCGGGUUGUAAACUCCUUUCGCUAGGGACGAAGCUUUUUGUGACGGUACCUAGAUAAGAAGCACCGGCUAACUACGUG